rnacentral:rRNA from 1 species
AGGACGAACGCUGGCGGCGUGCUUAACACAUGCAAGUCGAGCGGUAAGGCCUUUCGGGGUACACGAGCGGCGAACGGGUGAGUAACACGUGGGUGGUCUGCCCUGCACUUCGGGAUAAGCCUGGGAAACUGGGUCUAAUACCGGAUAUGACUUCAGGUUGCAUGACGUUGGGGGUGGAAAGUAUUUAGUCGGUGCAGGAUCGGGCCCGCGGCCUACCAGUCUUGUUGGUGGGGUAAUGGCCUAACCGAAGGCGACGGACGGGUAGCCGACCUGAGAGGGUGACCGGCCACACGUGGGACUGAGACACGGCCAGACUCCGUACGGGAGGCAGCAGGUAGGGAAUAUGCACGAAGUGGGACGAAAGCCUGAUGCAGCGACGCCGCGUGGAGGGAUGGACCGGUCCGUUCGGGUAGUAACC